UUUUUCCGGCCCCCCCCCAUGCAGCCUCCUGCCCCUCCCCUCUGUGACCGGCACGGCAGUAACCCCUCCGUGCCACCCUCUUGGUUUGCAGCCCCCCUGGCGUGCGGGUUGCUCACUGGCAGAGGCAAGCCCCCCGGCGCGGAGGGGGGAUGCUCGGCUCGCAGCCCCGUCACUCCCCAGCGCUCGUGGCCAUUGCCUGAUCUGACCCCCUGCGUGGGGCACUCGGGGCAAGGAAGCACAGAAUGGGGCCAGACAUGGCAUGUUUGGGGGGAUGCAGCGGUGAUUUGGGGGGAUGCGGUGGUGAUUUGGGGGGAUGCGGCUGUGAUUCGGGGCAUGCUGAAUUUAUCUACUGCUAAAUGAGUCACAGCAUGAGUCAGGGAGAGGAGAUGGAGAGAUUUGGAAGACAUGAACAACAAAUUCUACUGCUGAAUAAGAAAAAAAGUAUGCCUUCUGGACUAGAAGCAAGAAACUACAGAAGUAAGCCCUGUGCCAAGCUGCUAUUGCGCCCCAGCUUUAGGCAAGUGCAUUUGCCUCCAAAUAUUCAAUCCUAGAUUUUGUUUCCGUUAAGGGGUAUCCUUGCACUCAGGUAUCUGCUAACUAACCAAACUGCUCCUACAAAAUGACAUCAGUUGUUCUUAUUCUACUGAAAUACUCAGCUGCUCAUAUUUUGUGAGGAUGGGGUUAA